GGAAGCAAUCAUACCAGCACUAAAGCACCGGAUCCCAUCAGAACUCCGAAGUUAAGCGUGCUUGGGCGAGAGUAGUACAAGGAUGGGUGACCUCCUGGGAAGUCCUCGUGUUGCAUUCC
rnacentral:rRNA from 1 species